AUGGCGCUUGUGCCCAACCCCGGCGAUCCGGCUCUCCGCAUCUACGGGCCGAAAAUCUAUUCUGGGUACCCCUCGCCCGAGGAAGAGUCCGAGUCCAGGUCUUACCUGCUGCACAAGAUCGGCUCCUUCUACCGCAAGGCGCGGAGGCGGCUCGCCUGCCGCCGCCGCGUGCAGCCGCACGACCUCUGCGUCGGCCUCCUCGACCCGGUCGCCAACAUCGUCAUCAACAGUACCAUCGCCCACCACUCCCGCAAGCGCGACCGCGAGGUCGCUGUGCCGCAGGAGGACCUGGAGCGCCGGUCGCUAGACGGCCUGGGCCUGGCUGUGCGCUACCUGCGCCUCGCCAAGGCCGACGCCCUCAUCGCCGCCUGCGCCGUCGCGUCGGACCACGGCAUCAAGUGGUUCCACGACUUCGAGGCCGCGCCUGCGCUCAUCAUCACGGCCCUCAAGUGCGCCGGGCUGGCCGCCGGGCACCCCGACGCCGCCCGCCUCGUCUGCGCCUGGCGCAACGUCUCCAGCCGCGUAGACGACGCGCUCAGCCUGCUCGACUUGCUCCGCGAAUCACAAUCAUCGCCACACCACUGCUCGCACGUCGUCAGGGAGCUCGUCUCCAUUGUCAACGAGGGACCGCAGGCCUGUGAAGGCCCCCUCGACCCCGUCUCCAACAUCAUCGUCAACACCGUCUGGCACCACGCCACGUUCCCGCCUUCCAUGAAGCUCGAGCAGAACGUGAUCGGCACGCGGAGCCUCCACCGGAUGGAGAACCGCUCCCUGUACGGCCUGGUCUCCUUCCUCUGCACUCGCUACCAUGGCUUUGGUUUCCAGCGAUCCGUGCGCUGCCUGCUUGAGGCAGACGCCAGCCUUGCGCUCGCUGAUCCCGACCUUGAUCCUGCCGCUGCUGCAAUUCGCCAUGUUCAGGAGGCUCAGAACUCCCCGGACACCGGUCUCAGGGAAGCCUUCUUGGCAGCCGCCACCGCGGCCUGCCACCCCAACCCGGACGCUCAAGCAAAGCUUCUCACUUCGUCACAAAUUCGGUGUGUUUACUGCGAAGCCAUGGGGACUAGAAUUGUGCAUCCAGUCGCGAUAGACUUCCGCGGCCGUGAUUCGGAGUUUGAGAUGCUGGCCCGCGAAAAAGACCCCUGUCAGCGCGAGGAAGCAACCUUGAGAAUCAUCAACCAUAGACGUCUCAUGGCGGAGAAUGUUCAUUGCAAGGAGAAAGAAGAUAUCCUCUAUGAUGGGGUGGAUGGGCACAAGAAUAAGUUUGAUAAUGUGAGUUCCCUGAGUGUGGAAGAAGCUAUGUUACUGGCACCACUUUGUCGCUAUCUGUAA
rnacentral:rRNA from 1 species